AGAACGAACGCUGGCGGCAUGCCUAACACAUGCAAGUCGAACGCUCCUGGGAUUUCGGUCUCAGGGGAGUGGCGCACGGGUGAGUAGCGCGUGGGAACCUGCCCUGUUGUGGGGGAUAACCGAGGGAAACUUCGGCUAAUACCGCAUAAGCCGGCUGUCUUGCGAAAGAUGGCCGGGAAAGAUUUAUCGCGACAGGAGGGGCCCGCGUCGGAUUAGGUAGUUGGCGGGGUAACGGCCCACCAAGCCGGUGAUCCGUAGCUGGUCUGAGAGGAUGAUCAGCCACACUGGGACUGAGACACGGCCCAGACUCCUACGGGAGGCAGCAGUGGGGGAAUAUUGGACAAUGGGCGCAAGCCUGAUCCAGCAAUGCCGCGUGAGUGAUGAAGGCCUUAGGGUUGUAAAGCUCUUUCGCCCGCGACGAUGAUGACGGUAGCGGGAGAAGAGCCCGGCUAACUUCGCGCCAGCAGCCGCGGUAA
rnacentral:rRNA from 1 species